rnacentral:rRNA from 1 species
GAGUUUGAUUCUGGCUCAGAAUGAACGCUGGCGGCGUGCCUAACACAUGCAAGUCGAACGAGAAAGUUCCUUCGGGGAUGAGUAUAGUGGCGCACGGGUGAGUAACGCGUGGGUGAUCUGUCCGGAAGUUUAGGAUAACCGGGCGAAAGUCUGGCUAAUACCGAAUUGUCGAAGUAUUUUUGAUGAUGCUUUGUAAAGGGUGCCUCUGAUUCAAGCAUCUGCUUUCGGGUGAGCCCGCGUAUCAUUAGCUAGUUGGUGGGGUAAAGGCUUACCAAGGCAACGAUGAUUAGCUGGUCUGAGAGGAUGAUCAGCCACACUGGAACUGGAACACGGUCCAGACUCCUACGGGAGGCAGCAGUGGGGAAUAUUGCGCAAUGGGCGAAAGCCUGACGCAGCAACACCGCGUGGGGGAAGAAGGUUUCCGGAUUGUAAACCCCUGUCAGGAGGGAAGAAGUGUUUUAUGGUUAAUAGCCAUAGGAUUUGACGGUACCUCCAGAGGAAGCACCGGCUAACUCCGUGCCAGCAGCCGCGGUAAUACGGAGGGUGCAAGCGUUAUUCGGAAUUACUGGGCGUAAAGGGUGCGUAGGCUGUUUUGAAAGUCAGGUGUGAAAUUUCUCGGCUCAACCGAGGCACUGCAUUUGAAACUUCAGAACUGGAAUUCGGGAGAGGGUAGCGGAAUUCCUGGAGUAGGAGUGAAAUCCGUAGAUAUCAGGAGGAACACCGGUGGCGAAGGCGGCUACCUGGCCCGAUAUUGACGCUGAGGCACGAAAGCGUGGGUAGCAAACAGGAUUAGAUACCCUGGUAGUCCACGCUGUAAACGAUGGAUGCUAGAUGUCGGGAAUUAUUUUCGGCGUCACAGUUAACGCGUUAAGCAUCCCGCCUGGGGAGUACGGUCGCAAGGCUGAAACUCAAAGAAAUUGACGGGGGCCCGCACAAGCGGUGGAGUAUGUGGUUUAAUUCGACGCAACGCGAAGAACCUUACCCAGACUUGACAUCCCUCAAAGUGUGUAGAGAUAUAUAUGUGCCCUUCGGGGAAUGAGGAGACAGGUGCUGCAUGGCUGUCGUCAGCUCGUGCUGUGAAGUGUUGGGUUAAGUCCCGCAACGAGCGCAACCCCUGUUAUCAGUUGCCAUCAGGUAAUGCUGGGCACUCUGAUAAGACUGUCCGGGUUAACCGGGAGGAAGGUGGGGACGACGUCAAGUCAUCAUGGCCCUUACGUCUGGGGCUACACACGUACUACAAUGGUUGGGACAACGGGCAGCGAAGUCGUGAGGCGGAGCGAAUCCUCAAACCCAAUCAUAGUCCGGAUUGCAGUCUGCAACUCGACUGCAUGAAGCUGGAAUCGCUAGUAAUCCCGGAUCAGCAUGCCGGGGUGAAUACGUUCCCGGGCCUUGUACACACCGCCCGUCACACCACGAAAGUCGGUUUUACCCGAAGCCGCUGGACUAACCGCAAGGAGGUAAGCGUCUACGGUAGGGCUGGUAAUUGGGGUGAAGUCGUAACAAGGUAGCCGUAGGGGAACCUGCGGCUGGAUCACCUCCUU